rnacentral:rRNA from 1 species
AACGAACGCUGGCGGCAUGCCUAACACAUGCAAGUCGAACGAGACCUUCGGGUCUAGUGGCGCACGGGUGCGUAACGCGUGGGAACCUGCCCUUAGGUUCGGAAUAACUCCCCGAAAGGGGUGCUAAUACCGGAUAAUGUCUUCGGACCAAAGAUUUAUCGCCUUUGGCUGGGCCCGCGUUGGAUUAGCUAGUUGGUAGGGUAAAAGCCUACCAAGGCGACGAUCCAUAGCUGGUCUGAGAGGAUGAUCAGCCACACUGGGACUGAGACACGGCCCAGACUCCUACGGGAGGCAGCAGUGGGGAAUAUUGGACAAUGGGCGAAAGCCUGAUCCAGCAAUGCCGCGUGAGUGAUGAAGGCCUUAGGGUUGUAAAGCUCUUUUACCCGGGAUGAUAAUGACAGUACCGGGAGAAUAAGCUCCGGCUAACCCCGUG